rnacentral:rRNA from 2 species
UAACACAUGCAAGUCGAACGAAGUAGCAAUACUUAGUGGCAGACGGGUGAGUAACAUGUGGGUAUCUACCCUUUUGGCCUGGAAUAACACGAGGAAACUUGCGCUAAUACCGGAUAAGUCUUUUACGGAGAAAGCUUUUAUGCACCAUUUGGAUGAGCCCCGCACUUGAUUAGUUUGUUGGUAGGGUAAUGGCCUACCAAGACUAUGAUCAAUAGCUGAUUUGAGAGGAUGAUCAGCCACAUUGGGGACUGAGACACGGCCCCAAAACUCC